AGUUUGAUUGGCACUGGAGGGAAAGAUCUCUAAAAUUAACAGAAUUCUUUUCUGUUGAUUUAAUGGUUUUAUUGUGGAAUUUAGUUUUUGGAUUGUAAUCUUGAAAUGAGUCCUGCUUUGCUUCCCAAACAUGUAGCUGCCGUAGUGAAAUAUCAGAAGGAUCCUAUCCGGGCCCUAGAAAUGUUUAAUUCAGCUGCUAAAGAAGAUGGGAUCAAGCAUACCUUGUUCACCUACAAAUGCAUGAUUGAAAAGCUUGGUUUUCAUGGAGAGUUUGAAGCAAUGGAGGGUGUUCUGGCAGAUAUGAGGUUGAAUAUUUACAGUAGCCUCUUUGAAGGAGUAUACAUUGGAGCCAUGAGAAACUACGGAAGGAGUGGUAAGAUCCAAGAGGCUGUUGACACGUUUGAGAGGAUGGAUUUCUUUAAUUGUGAACCAUCUGUUAAAUCAUAUAAUGUGAUCAUGAACAUCUUGGUUGAAAACAGCUAUUUUGAUCAAGCUCACAAAGUUUAUUUGAGAAUGUUGGACAAAAAGAUUUUUCCUGAUGUGUACACCUUCACGAUUAGGAUGAAAUCCUUUUGUAGAACAAGCAGGCCUCAUGCUGCUCUGAAGCUUCUUAAAAAUAUGCCUUCCCAAGGGUGUGAGCCUAAUGCAGUUUCAUACUGUACUGUAAUUGGUGGGUUUUAUGGAGAGGAUUAUCGAAUUGAGGCCGGUGAAUUGUUUAAUGACAUGUUUGAGAAUGGUCUUUGCCCUGACAUAUCAACAUUUAAUAAGCUUAUACACACACUUUGCAAGAAGGGGGAUACCCAAGAGAGUCGGAAACUUCUCAACAAGAUCCUAAAGAGGGGGGUCUCCCCAAAUUUGUUUACAUUCAACAUAUUCAUUCGGGGCCUUUGUAGGGAGGACAAGCUAAAUGAAGCUACUCGUUUGCUUGAUUAUAUGGGUAGAGUAGGGCUUUCCCCUGAUGUCAUUACAUUUAAUACAUUAAUCUGUGGAUUGUGUAAGAACUCUAAGGUUCUGGAGGCUGAAAACUAUCUGCAUAAAAUGGUAAAUGAAGGGUAUUGCCCUGAUGAUUUCACUUAUAACACCAUUAUCAAUGGACAUUGCAAAUUUGGUAUGGUAGAAAAUGCAUUUAAGAUUCUGAAAGAUGCUAUUUUCAAGGGGUUUGUUCCCGACCAGGUCACUUAUUGCUCUCUGAUUAAUGGGUUGUGUCAGGAAGGUGACAUAGAUAGGGCUAUGGAGGUGUUUAAUGAGGCAUUGGCAAAAGGGUUGAAACCUAACAUUACAAUCUACAAUUCACUAGUCAAAGGAUUGUCUCAGCAGGGGCUUAUCUUGCAGGCAUUGCAGCUAAUGAAUGACAUGUUAGAAGAUGGUUGCAGCCCCAAUAUUUGGACUUACAAUAUUGUUAUAAAUGGGUUAUGCAAGAUGGGUUAUGUGUCUGAUGCUCACAAUCUCAUGAAUGAUGCAAUAGCAAAAGGGUACCUUCCUGAUGUAUUUACCUUUAAUACACUGAUUGAUGGCUACUGUAAGCAGUUCAGGCUGCAUAAUGCGGUGGAGAUUGUUGAUAGAAUGUGGACCCAUGGAGUUACUCCUGAUGUAAUCACUUAUAACUCUGUGUUGAAUGGUCUCUGUAAGGCUGGAAAGGUUGAAGAUGUCAUGGAAACAUUCAAAGAAAUGGUUGGGAAGGGUUGUGUUCCUAAUGUCAUCACAUAUAACAUACUUAUAGAGAGCCUGUGCAAAGUGAAAAAGGUAAAAGAAGCUUUAGAGUUGUUUGUGAAGAUGGAAAAUGAGGGACUAUCUCUAGAUGCUGUAAGUUUUGGCACAUUGAUUCAUGGAUUUUGUGAGAAUAGCGAUCUUGAGGGAGCAUACCAGCUCUUUAGAAGAAUGGAACAGCAAGUUCACUUUCGCCCUCUGACUGCAACAUAUAAUGUCAUGAUAAAUAAAUUUUGUGAGAAACUUAACAUAAGCAUGGCUGAAAAGCUUUUUCAUGAAAUGGGUGACACAGGCUGCUCACCAGAUGCUUUCACGUUCCGUGUCCUGAUUGAUGGCUUCUGCAAAACGGGGAAUGUUGAUUCAGGGUAUAUUUUUCUGUUGGACAUGAUUGAUAGAGGAUUUAGUCCUUCUUUGACAACAUUUGGACGGGUAAUGAACUGCCUUUGUGUGAACCAUAGAGUUGAUGAGGCAGUUGGUAUCAUUCACCUUAUGGUGGGCAAGGGUAUCGUCCCGGAUAUUGUGGACACAAUCUUUGAGUCUAACAAAAAGGUGGUUGCAGCACCUAAGAUCCUUGUGGAAGACUUGUUAAAGAAAGGUCAUAUAACUUAUUGUACAUAUGAACUUCUGUAUGAUGGCAUUAGAGAUAAGAAACUGCUAAAGAAAAGGCAACAAAGAAAGCGAUCUCAAAUUUCUCACAUCUAGAGGUUAUAUUUAUUCAUUUGUUUUCAAUGAUAUAAUGGUUCACCUUCAUCUACCAAGACUCUAGGGCGGUAGGAGCACCAUAUACACAGUUGACGGAUACUGGGAUCCACAGGUAUUCUUGAAAGAAGUUUUUGCAGAAUUAGUUUUCAAACAGAGUGAAUGGAAGAGUUUGACUCACCAAAUUACUGGCAGCUGCUUGAGUGAAAUUCUUUAAAAU